CAUAUAUAAAAGGGGGAUAACUCUCAUAUGGAGUCUCCGGAUAGCUUCGGUCAAAAUGAAACAGAACAUCCUGAGGAUAUAACGAGCAAUUUGGAAAAAUAAAUUUGUCGGUUUCUUAUACGGUUGCGAAGGAGUAGUGGCCACAAGAAAAACAGUGUUCGGGGAGAUAACUCUUACAAGGUAAAGUUUUUUGUUACGCGGUGUCAGUUUCAGAAGCGUAUUAACUGUUCGAUAUCAUAUACCAAAUAUCUAAGCGACAUCUUGUGAAACAAAAAAACAGCGAAGGAAAAAAAAGUUGGCGGAAGAAAAAAAAAAAAAAUAAUAAUAAAACCAAUUGUUCAAAGAACAAUUGAAGGUCUUUCAACCAAUAAGGAUCUAUUUAGAUAUGAAAAUAUUAAAAUUCAGUUGAAAAUGUCAGUUCCUAUGGCUUAAUGAUGUAUAAAUAUGAAUUUUAAGCAAAGGUCAAAAUCUAGAACGUCCAAUUAACCUAUGACCUUGACCUCAAUUUCAAGGUCAUAGACUAAACAUCUCAAAUAAAAAGACACUAGUUCCUUAAUAUGUAUGGUUCAUGAGUAAAAUCACUUUACGCAUAAUUCUUAAUAUAAGAGGGGCGAAAACUCCCUUUUAUUGUUUACGCACCCUUGCAACCAAAAUUUAUAAGUUACGACAUGUCGCAACUAACAAUUUAGUAAAAAAAAAUUGUCGAUAUCUUAUAAGGUUAAUGAAAAAAGGUGAAAAUAAGCCAAAAUCAAAAUUUAGAAUUUGACCUUGACCUUUGACCUUGACCUAAUUUUCAUUUUUUUGGACCAAGGAUCUUAAAUCAAAAGACCCUAGGUCUCUAUCACUUAUAGUUUACCAGUUAGAAAUGCAUAUCACUGAUAUCAUAUAUAAAAGGGGGGAUAACUCUCAUAUGGAGUCUCCGGAUAGCUUCGGUUGAAAUGAAACAGAACAUCCUAAGGAUAUAACGAGCAAUUUGGAAAAAUAAAUUUGUCGGUUUCUUAUACGGUUGCGAAGGAGUAGUGGCCACAAGAAAAACAGUGUUUGGGGAGAUAACUCUUACAAGGUAAAGGUUUUUGUUACGCGGUGUCAGUUUCAGAAGCGCAUUAACUGUUCGAUAUCAUAUACCAAAUAUCUAAGCGACAUCUUGUGAAACAAAAAAACAGCGAAGGAAAAAAAAGUUGGCGGAAGAAAAAAAAAAAAAAAAAUAAUAAAAUAAUAAUAAUUAAAAACCAAUUGUUCAAAGAACAAUUGAAGGUCUUUCAACCAAUAAGGAUCUAUUUAGAUAUGAAAAUAUUAAAAUUCAGUUGAAAAUGUCAGUUCCUAUGGCUUAAUGAUGUAUAAAUAUGAAUUUUAAGCAAAGGUCAAAAUCUAGAACGUCCAAUUAACCUAUGACCUUGACCUCAAUUUCAAGGUCAUAGACUAAACAUCUCAAAUAAAAAGACACUAGUUCCUUAAUAUGUAUGGUUCAUGAGUAAAAUCACUUUACGCAUAAUUCUUAAUAUAAGAGGGGCGAAAACUCCCUUUUAUUGUUUACGCACCCUUGCAACCAAAAUUUAUAAGUUACGACAUGUCGCAACUAACAAUUUAGUAAAAAAAAAUUGUCGAUAUCUUAUAAGGUUAAUGAAAAAAGGUGAAAAUAAGCCAAAAUCAAAAUUUAGAAUUUGACCUUGACCUUUGACCUUGACCUAAUUUUCAUUUUUUUUGGACCAAGGAUCUUAAAUCAAAAGACCCUAGGUCUCUAUCACUUAUAGUUUACCAGUUAGAAAUGCAUAUCACUGAUAUCAUAUAUAUAAAAGGGGGGAUAACUCUCAUAUGGAGUCUCCGGAUAGCUUCCGUUGAAAUGAAACAGAACAUCCUAAGGAUAUAACGAGCAAUUUGGAAAAAUAAAUUUGUCGGUUUCUUAUACGGUUGCGAAGGAGUAGUGGCCACAAGAAAAACAGUGUUCGGGGAGAUAACUCUUACAAGGUAAAGUUUUUUGUUACGCGGUGUCAGUUUCAGAAGCGCAUUAACUGUUCGAUAUCAUAUACCAAAUAUCUAAGCGACAUCUUGUGAAACAAAAAAAACAGCGAAGGAAAAAAAAGUUGGCGGAAGAAAAAAAAAAAAAUAAUAAUAAUAAUAAUAAAAAC
rnacentral:lncRNA from 1 species